rnacentral:rRNA from 1 species
AUGCAAGUCGAGCGGAUGAAGGGAGCUUGCUCCCUGAUUCAGCGGCGGACGGGUGAGUAAUGCCUAGGAAUCUGCCUGGUAGUGGGGGACAACGUCUCGAAAGGGACGCUAAUACCGCAUACGUCCUACGGGAGAAAGCAGGGGACCUUCGGGCCUUGCGCUAUCAGAUGAGCCUAGGUCGGAUUAGCUAGUUGGUGAGGUAAUGGCUCACCAAGGCGACGAUCCGUAACUGGUCUGAGAGGAUGAUCAGUCACACUGGAACUGAGACACGGUCCAGACUCCUACGGGAGGCAGCAGUGGGGAAUAUUGGACAAUGGGCGAAAGCCUGAUCCAGCCAUGCCGCGUGUGUGAAGAAGGUCUUCGGAUUGUAAAGCACUUUAAGUUGGGAGGAAGGGCAUUAACCUAAUACGUUGGUGUUUUGACGUUACCGACAGAAUAAGCACCGGCUAACUCUGUGCCAGCAGCCGCGGUAAUACAGAGGGUGCAAGCGUUAAUCGGAAUUACUGGGCGUAAAGCGCGCGUAGGUGGUUUGUUAAGUUGGAU